rnacentral:rRNA from 1 species
GUUGUAUGGUUAAGUGACUAAGCGUACACGGUGGAUGCCUGGGCAGUCAGAGGCGAUGAAGGACGUACUAACUUGCGAUAAGCGUAGAUGAGGCAGUAAGAGCCACUUGAGUCUACGAUUUCCGAAUGGGGAAACCCAGCUGCAUAAGCAGUUAUCUCAAUGUGAAUUCAUAGCAUUGUGAGGCGAACCGGGGGAACUGAAACAUCUAAGUACCCCGAGGAAGAGAAAUCAACCGAGAUUCCGG